UCUCAACCUUUUCUUGCAUGUCAGCCAGCAAAUCUCAGGAACUGAUCUUCUGUCAGCUUCUGUCAUGCACUUGGAAAUGUGACUGUGUAAAUUUGGAGAUGUCCUUUGGUACAAAAUAUUUAAUGGGUUGUCCAUCCACUUCCAAGUGUAAUCUCUGGUCAUGUACUGUCUCUCUCCUCUCCUCUCCUCUCCUCUCUCUUGUUGAUGGACAGCAGUGUAACGUGAUCCAGUGAAACGCAUGCCACAGUGGUAGAGAGUCUUGACUGAGAAGGACUUGCAGUACUUGGCUGUCUAUAUGAGGAAAGAGUCCAAGGAAUUCUCUGUGGGCCCCCGUGGGACUGAACAUGCCCCUUGGGAUAAGGGUGUGGCAUGGAGAGAACGAAGAAGGAAGGGAUACAGAUGUAAAGACUGGAAAGAUGAGAUGGAGUAAGGCAUAUUUCAGUGUUCUGCCGGGAAACCUUGGGUCCUGCCAUUCAUCUGGGUGAUAAUGCACUCACUACACCACAAAAACUGCUCAAAGGAACACGACAAAGAGUGCAAGGACCUGAGCCAGCCUCUAAACUGCCUAGAUCCGAUC